GUUUCCAUGAGCAGAGGAAGUUCCAGCAGAGUCGUAGAGCAGCGGUCCUCAUCCAGCAAUACUACCGCUCUUACAGACACUCCCUCAGCAGCCUCCUAACUAAAAAACAGAACCAGGCUGCUCGCAAGAUCCUGAGGUUCCUGCUCCGAUGCCGCCACAGGGCCAGAGAGCAGAGAACGGCCAGGGGUCCUGAGAACCCAUCACCAGGCCCCACACACAGCCCCCUCAGCCUGUGAGCAAUCUAUACACCCUCCCAGCCCGUCUCUUUUUUCCUUCUCCUCUCUUCCAUCCUCCCCAAACUCUUAUCUUUCUACCCCUAACCCCCUUUCUCCUGCACUUUUCUUUCCUCCCCUCCUCCUUCUCUUUCCCCUCUUGUCCCCAGAGGAAAAAAAAAACUCUUCCCAGACAGACUGAGGACAGGAUAGGUGUCCAUCAUGGCAGCUCAGACAGACAGACUGCUGGGUAGAGCCCAGGGACCUGGCUCUGCCCACAGCACUGAUCCUCCUCCACAGUUUCACUGG
rnacentral:lncRNA from 1 species